GAGAGGAUGAGAACCUCCGGGGGCAAGGAGGUUCGACUCGAGCGCAGCGAGAGAGCGUUGCUUUAGCAACGACCCGCAGGGCGAGUCACACAGUGACGAGUCAUCCUCUAUCA
rnacentral:sRNA from 1 species